CCUACGGGGGGCAGCAGUGGGGGAUAUUGGACAAUGGGGGGAACCCUGAUCCAGCGACGCCGCGUGAGUGAAGAAGUAUUUCGGUAUGUAAAGAUCUGUCAGCAGGGAAGAAAGCAAUGACGGUACCUGACCAAGAAGCCCCGGCUAACUACGUGCCAGCAGCCGCGGUAAUACGUAGGGGGCAAGCGUUAUCCGGAAUUACUGGGUGUAAUGGGAGCGUAGACGGCUGGGCAAGUCUUGAGUGAAAGGCGGGGGCGCAACCCCGGGACUGCACUGGAAACUGUAUGGCUGGAGUGCAGGAGAGGAUAGUGGAAUUCCUAGUGUAGCAGUGAAAUGCGUAGAUAUUAGGAGGAACACCAGUGGCGAAGGCGGCUUACUGGACUGUAACUGACGUUGAGGCUCGAAAGCGUGGGGAGCAAACAGGAUUAGAUACCCCAGUAGUC
rnacentral:rRNA from 1 species